rnacentral:rRNA from 1 species
GACGAACGCUGGCGGCGUGCUUAACACAUGCAAGUCGAACGGAUAGGCCCUGCUUUUGUGGGGUGCUCGAGUGGCGAACGGGUGAGUAACACGUGAGUAACCUGCCCUUGACUUUGGGAUAACUUCAGGAAACUGGGGCUAAUACCGGAUAGGAGCUCCUGCUGCAUGGUGGGGGUUGGAAAGUUUCGGCGGUUGGGGAUGGACUCGCGGCUUAUCAGCUUGUUGGUGGGGUAGUGGCUUACCAAGGCUUUGACGGGUAGCCGGCCUGAGAGGGUGACCGGCCACAUUGGGACUGAGACACGGCCCAGACUCCUACGGGAGGCAGCAGUGGGGAAUAUUGCACAAUGGGCGGAAGCCUGAUGCAGCAACGCCGCGUGCGGGAUGACGGCCUUCGGGUUGUAAACCGCUUUCGCCUGUGACGAAGCGUGAGUGACGGUAAUGGGUAAAGAAGCACCGGCUAACUACGUG